UACGGAGGGUGCAAGCGUUAUCCGGAUUUACUGGGUUUAAAGGGUGCGUAGGCGGACUUUUAAGUCAGUGGUGAAAUCCCCGAGCUUAACUCGGAAACUGCCAUUGAUACUAUUAGUCUUGAAUUCGGUCGAGGUUGGCGGAAUGUGUCGUGUAGCGGUGAAAUGCUUAGAUAUGACACAGAACACCGAUUGCGAAGGCAGCUAGCUAGACCGACAUUGACGCUGAGGCACGAAAGCGUGGGGAUGAAACAGG
rnacentral:rRNA from 1 species